rnacentral:rRNA from 1 species
AUUGAACGCUGGCGGCAUGCCUUACACAUGCAAGUCGAACGGCAGCACGGGAGCAAUCCUGGUGGCGAGUGGCGAACGGGUGAGUAAUAUAUCGGAACGUGCCCAGUCGUGGGGGAUAACGUAGCGAAAGCUACGCUAAUACCGCAUACGAUCUAUGGAUGAAAGCGGGGGAUCGCAAGACCUCGCGCGAUUGGAGCGGCCGAUAUCAGAUUAGGUAGUUGGUGAGGUAAAGGCUCACCAAGCCGACGAUCUGUAGCUGGUCUGAGAGGACGACCAGCCACACUGGGACUGAGACACGGCCCAGACUCCUACGGGAGGCAGCAGUGGGGAAUUUUUGGACAAUGGGCGAAAGCCUGAUCCAGCAAUGCCGCGUGCAGGAAGAAGGCCUCGGUUGUAACG